UGACCUCGGAUCAGGUAGGGAUACCCGCUGAACUUAAGCAUAUCAAUAAGCGGAGGC
rnacentral:rRNA from 1 species